CAGGUCUGCCACCACAUCAGACCACAUCAUUUCUGGCUACAACACAUUCAGUCCCACUAUUUCAGCCAACAUUGCCGGCGCCUCCAAUAUUUAGCAUGCAUCACAGUCAUCUCAAUCAGUUGACUCGGCAUCACAUUCAGCUUCAACAGAACAAGACUCAUCACAACAAGUUCCAAUAGUUCAAGCUCCAUUCAAAAAGCGUAUUGGGCGUGAAUCACAGUCAUAUUGGACUAUAGAAGCAAUAGAUUCAGAAAACAAUGUCAAAAGGCUCAAAG